rnacentral:misc_RNA from 1 species
GCAAACUUGGUCAUUUAGAGGAAGUAAAAGUCGUAACAAGGUUUCCGUAGGUGAACCUGCGGAAGGAUCAUUACUAGACUUGCGAUGCGAGCAGCUCUGCUGUGAGCAUUGCACACAAAGCAGGCUAUGAUGGAAGCUGGCUUGCCAGUGGUAGUCAUAGCCUGUAAUUUUCAAUUCGUUUGAAUGCAUGGAGCUGUAGCUCUCUGAGCUAUCAGUACACUUACAAUACAAUAAAACUUUCAACAACGGAUCUCUUGGUUCUCGCAUCGAUGAAGAACGCAGC